ACGGGAGGCAGCAGUGGGGAAUAUUGCACAAUGGGGGAAACCCUGAUGCAGCGACGCCGCGUGAGUGAAGAAGUAUUUCGGUAUGUAAGGCUCUAUCAGCAAGGAAGAAAAUGACGGUACUUGACUAAGAAGCCCCGGCUAACUACGUGCCAGCAGCCGCGGUAAUACGUAGGGGGCAAGCGUUAUCCGGAUUUACUGGGUGUAAAGGGAGCGUAGACGGCAUAGCAAGUCUGAAGUGAAAUGCAUGGGCUCAACCCAUGAACUGCUUUGGAAACUGUUAAGCUAGAGUGCAGGAGGGGUAAGUGGAAUUCCUAGUGUAGCGGUGAAAUGCGUAGAUAUUAGGAGGAACACCAGUGGCGAAGGCGGCUUACUGGACUGUAACUGACGUUGAGGCUCGAAAGCGUGGGGAGCAAACAGGAUUAGAUACCCUGGUA
rnacentral:rRNA from 1 species